rnacentral:tRNA from 1 species
GGACAGAUGGCCGAGCUGGUUAUGGCGCCAGGUUAAGGUUCAAUCAAACAUUCUCCUGGUCACGAAAGUGGCGUGGGUUCGAGUCCCACUCUGUUCA